UACCUGGCCUGUUCUUAGUAUAAGCAAUCUAUACUGUGAAACUGCGAAUGGCUCAUUAAAUCAGUUAUCGUUUAUUUCGAUAGUACCCUUACUACUUGGAUAACCGUGGUAAUUCUAGAGCUAAUACAUGCUAAAAACCCCGACUUCGGAAGGGGUGUAUUUAUUAGAUAAAAAACCAAUGCCCUUCGGGGCUCCUUGGUGAAUCAUGAUAACUUAACGAAUCGCAUGGCCUUGUGCCGGCGAUGGUUCAUUCAAAUUUCUGCCCUAUCAACUUUCGAUUGUAGGAUAGAGGCCUACAAUGGUUUCAACGGGUAACGGGGAAUUAGGGUUCUAUUCCGGAGAGGGAGCCUGAGAAACGGCUACCACAUCCAAGGAAGGCAGCAGGCGCGCAAAUUACCCAAUCCCGAUACGGGGAGGUAGUGACAAUAAAUACUGAUACAGGGCUCUUUUGGGUCUUGUAAUUGGAAUGAGUACAAUUUAAAUCUCUUAACGAGGAACAAUUGGAGGGCAAGUCUGGUGCCAGCAGCCGCGGUAAUUCCAGCUCCAAUAGCGUAUAUUAAAGUUGUUGCAGUUAAAAAGCUCGUAGUUGAACCUUGGGCCUGGCUGGCCGGUCUGCCUCACCGCAUGUACUGGUUCGGCCGGGUCUUUCCUCCUGGGGAUCCGCAUGCCCUUCACUGGGUGUGUUGGGGAACCAGGACUUUUACUUUGAAAAAAUUAGAGUGUUCAAAGCAGGCCUUUGCUCGAAUACAUUAGCAUGGAAUAAUAGAAUAGGACGUGCGGUCCUAUUUUGUUGGUUUCUAGGACCGCCGUAAUGAUUAAUAGGGAUAGUCGGGGGCAUCAGUAUUCAGUUGUCAGAGGUGAAAUUCUUGGAUUUACUGAAGACUAACUACUGCGAAAGCAUUUGCCAAGGAUGUUUUCAUUAAUCAGUGAACGAAAGUUAGGGGAUCGAAGACGAUCAGAUACCGUCGUAGUCUUAACCGUAAACUAUGCCGACUAGGGAUCGGGCGAUGUUAUUCUUUUGACUCGCUCGGCACCUUACGAGAAAUCAAAGUCUUUUGGGUUCCGGGGGGAGUAGGGCCCCACG
rnacentral:rRNA from 1 species